GUUAUGGUGGGGAAGUGACGGAAGAAAUGGGCCCCCACACAGUGUAUUUGGUGCCUGAUCCUGCUGAUUUACAAGGCAGAAAGGACACACAGCCUCCUUACAACACUUUCACACGCAUGUUUAUCCAUGACUCUGUGUAUGGAAAGAAUCUCAUGAAACUCAAAGAUUACUGGGCCCAUAAAUUGAAAAAUUUUGAUGAACAGUUUGACCCUCAGAAGGUCAUGAAUGGAUAUCUCACCUGGGAGGACUGCACGAAGGAAAUGUCCCGCUCAACAAGUGGAUUAACACCAGGGACUCCUGUUGUCUGCAGUGAUGAUGAUGGUGAAGCAGGAGGCAGCACUGCACCUUUGUUGCCUUCUCCAGCCACCCCUGAAGCCCCUCGGUUAUCCAAAGGCAUCCCCAGCCAUUCUGAAGGACAAGCAGAGGCAUCCACCAGAUUGCCUUGGACCAGUAAGCCUCUGACAUCACUCCCACACAUCACCAACGAAAUACCUUGGUUUCCCCAGGUACCCAUUUAUCGACCAGCCUGAGAGUAAGGAUGAACAGCUGGGUGAGCUGCACACUGACUGCCCGGGCCGGGAUUUGAACCCAGGCCUGCGGAGUAGAAGCCAGGCACGCUAACCACAAGACCACGGAGGCGUAUAACUUUGAGAGUGACACAGGAUAAAUGAACUUAAUUAUAAUACUUUUGAAAGUCACUUAAUCUGACUUCAUAUAUAUAAUAACAACUUCUUUACUAAUAUAAUUAAAGAAAGAACUGCUGGUAUACAUGAACACAAUCACAACUUAUAUUGUAAAAAAAGGGGAGAAAUUAUCUGACUCUAAAAAUUAACUGCAGGACAAUAUGGCUGAGCUUAUUAUACACUUAAUAAAAUGUAAAGCUUAUAGCACUGUGGUGUGUACUAUUUGGAGCAAUUCUUCACAGCCUGCUAUUAAACAUCUUUUUAUAUGUUAUUUCCUAUAGAAAUCAAUUAAAUAAAUUGCAAAUACAAAACAGGUUUGAAGAAAGCAAAAGGGACCUUUAGUGAUGCAUAAGAAAUACAGAAUUUUAUGCCCUGCAAUAUUCAACAAAGUCCUGAAAAGCUCCAGCUAUUGCAGUCAUUCUGGUUGAAACUAUUCAAGGAAAUAUACACAUUUCUACAAACUAUCCAGUAAUAUAUGCUUGGUCUUGCUUCUUCAGAAUCUUUUAUCUUGUGUCUCCUGCCUGGAAGUUUAAGGGUCUGACGCUGCACCACUGCUGGGACAUAUGGGCUGCUAGGUGUUGUAGCACCCGCUACACUUUCAGGUUACACUCAGUCUCCUAUGAAAGGAAAAUUAUUUGCUUGGUCAUCAUAACCAGGAUCAUAAGAGAGAGAGAGAGAUGUAAAAGUGACUGGCUAGUAGUUAAAGGUUAAGAAGCAAUGAAAUAGAAAGUUUACAUAGUUAUUAAACUUGAUCUGUGGAAAUGAAGAAAACAAAGAAAUACAAUGACUAAGUUAUAAUAGUGAAUUUAAAGUAUCUAUGUUUUAAUAGGAAGUUAGUUUAUCUCAAGCACUAUGAAAGAGCUUUUUACUUAUUGUUAUAGUAGAGCGACAGUGUUUUAAGCCAUAAUACAGCAAGCUGCUCUUUAGAAAGUAUGCCGUUUUAUCUACUUCCCCAUAUCUGAGCAGCUGACAAUGUCUGAGCUCCACUCCUAAUCCUAGCCACAUUACUGGGCAGUGCCCUGGUGGCAGAAGUGGCAAAUCUUAAUGACUGAUAUGUUUGCUAAGCUCUGCUUUUUUUUUUUUUUUUUUUUUACAGCAAAGGAGACAGCUCAAGGGCACAAAAAAGUAAACAUUAAUAAAAAAAAAAGCCCGCUACUCGCUGCUCCUAAAAAGAAUCCAAAGAGGUGGCCGAAAGAUAGGUCAGUUUCGGGAGGAGAGGUGUCCUGAUACCCUCCUCUUGAAAGAGUUCAAGUCGUAGGCAGGAGGAAAUACAGAUGAAGGAAGAUUGUUCCAGAGUUUACCAGCGUGAGGGAUGAAAGAGUGAAGAUGCUGGUUAACUCUUGCAUAAGGGGUUUGGACAGUAUAGGGAUGAGCAUGAGUAGAAAGUCGAGUGCAGCGGGGCCGCUGGAGGGGGGGAGGCAUGCAGUUAGCAAGUUCAGAAGAGCAGUCAGCGUGGAAAUAUCGAUAGAAGAUAGAAAGAGAGGCAACAUUGCGGCGGAAUUUAAGAGGUAGAAGACUAUCAGUAUGAGGAGGAGAGCUGAUGAGACGAAGAGCCUUUGCCUCCACUCUGUCCAGAAGAGCUGUGUGAGUGGAGCCCCCCCACACAUGAGAUGCAUACUCCAUACGAGGGCGGACAAGGCCCCUGUAUAUGGACAGCAACUGUGCAGGGGAGAAGAACUCAGUAAAUGGCCUCACCUCUAUGAAAAUACUGAAAUGACAUCACGUACUGAAGUGUGUGUGGCCCCAUAUCCCUUCCCUUCUCCAUGGUGAGAUAACUUGGUGCAUGCAAGUAUAUUACACUUUUACCUACAGAGGAGGUCAAAACAGUGUAAUGAAACUAAUCAUGGACAACUUGGAGGACAAAGUCAUGGCUAAGAACUGACAGAAAGGCACGUUUAUUACGUUACCUAAAGGAUACCUUCAUGCAGGUUAACAAAAAUGUUUCACUCACUAGCACGUUUUAGCAACAAUAUACUGAGCUGACUCUCCACAUGACAAGUGAUUGGCUUACCCUGAACUUCCUCACUUCAUCUCCGUACUCCCGGUGGGGCAGACAACAUCGUCUGCCUCUGUCACAGACAGCGCCUGCCUCUGUCACGGGCCACGUGCUGCACUGGUGUUGAGGUUCCUGUGAUUGGCUACUGUCUCUUGAGUACGUAUGUAUCGAGCGCUGCCAUUGGUUGAACGAAAUAUGUCAACAACACACUACGCCGUCUGUCGGCGGGAGUGUGAAACAGUGUUAAGGCAGGAAAAUCUAAACAUGGCGGACUUAAGAUUUUUUGGGAAUCGCAAGAUACGACAUUCUUAUUUCCGCCAUAUUGGAUCCACUUAAGAUUGUCGUAUCUGCGAGGCGUUAGUGAAUCUGGGCCCAGGUUGAUGGGUGGUCUUCAGGACAGCAUGUGGGUAGUUUUAAGCCACACAGCGGUGACUGAAAAAUCUGAGGUGGUAGCGUGGGGAUUCAAAUUCGUGUCGUCCAUCACGUGGUGAAUGUGGGCCCAGCACGCUACCACUUCAGCCACUGCCUACCCCGACCAAAGCCAUGAUCUGACUCCUUUCUGCCCCUCCCACCCCACCCCUUCUGUGUGUGUGUGUGUGUGUGUGUGUGUGUGUGUGUGUGACAAGUCAGGACAUGACCUGACCUGAGUCAGGUCAUGUUUUGACCAAAGCCCUGAUCUGACUCUCCUUUCUGCCCCAUCCUUCCCACAUCCUUCUCAUUUCACCUUCUUUGUGUGUGUGACAGGUAUGGACAUGACCUGACCUGAGUCAGGGCAUGUCCUGACCAAAGCCCUGACC